ensembl:lncRNA
CGCUGGUUGUCCGGACCGGGCUGCCUGCGUCCGCUCCACUCGGCGCCGCGCCCCGCGCCCCGCGCCCGACCGUCGCUUCCCGCCUCCCCGCAGCUCCCUCCCCGCAACCCGCGGCGCGUGCGCACGAGAGUUACGCGGGGCAUCCUCGGGCGCCCAGACCCGGAGUUUGUUCGGCCUACCCGACCGGCGCUCUUGCGUCCGACAGACCCAGAAUACCGGGAGCACAGGGCGCCCUCCCCGCGCUUCCAUCCAGCGGGGCACCGGGCGCGUCCACUCUGAAUUCCCGUACUAGGGCGUCGCGGGAGACCACUGCGGCAGUGACGUCAGCUGAUCUCGGGGGCUCGAUCCUCCCGCUACCUCACAGUUUAUGCCCUACCAAGGCAAGGCUCCAGUGGCUUCCCUUGGCAGGUGAGGCCCCAGGCCUUCCAGGCCUGCAGGGCAGAAAAAGGGACCAAAGACUUCUGUGUGAAGUGAAAUUCUCCUACCAAGAAAAUGAGAAAUGAUGAUAUUGAGAAGACAAAGGUGGCAAAGAGACCAAAAGUUCCCCUGGCCAACCAUCGCCCUUCUUUGUUAGUGUUUGCUGGUUAAUAUGUAGGAAAAGCUUUCAACCUGUUUUGUAAGAAGAUCCUCCUACAGUGGGUGGCACCAUUUUCCUGGCUGCAAUCUUGGACUGUAUAAAAUGGAGAAGGUGAGCCAACAUACGAGCUCCAUCCUUUGCUUACUGACUGCAGUUGCAAUGUGACCCGCAGCUUCCAGCUUCUUCUGUCUUGACUUCCUUCCCAUGACGAACUGUACCUGGAAAUGAGCCAUAAAAAUACCCAACCUCUCUCCCUUAAGCUACUUUCAUUGUGGCAUUUUGUCACAGCAUCUGGAAAACAAACUAAUGGUCUUGAUAAUGUAACAGCUGACACUGUCUGGGCAGGAGGAGAUAAGGAAACCAGAGCCCAGAAGAGGAAAUUUACCAGAAUCUUAACAUUUAUCGGGAAGAAAGCAGAAAAUAAGCUCUGUCAAAAUACACAACAACCGAUGAAUAGAUAAGUAAAUUGUAGAACAUAAAGAUUAUGGAAUAUUACUUACCCUAUGGAAGAAUGGAAUGCUGAUAUUUGUAAUAAUUCAUGUGAACCUUGAAAGCACCGUACUAUAUGAAAUAAACAGAAAGGGACACAGUGUU